rnacentral:rRNA from 1 species
AGUGAACGCUGGCGGCGUGCCUAAUACAUGCAAGUCGAACGCGAAAGUCCUUCGGGAUGAGUAAAGUGGCGCACGGGUGAGUAAUACAUGGGAACAUGCCCUUGGAUGGGGAAUAACGUUUGGAAACGAACGCUAAUACCGCAUAAUCUCGCGAGAGUAAAGGUGGCGCCGCAAGGGCUACCGUCCAAGGAUUGGCCCAUGUCCCAUUAGCUAGUUGGCGGGGUAAUGGCCCACCAAGGCAACGAUGGGUAACUGGUCUGAGAGGAUGAUCAGUCACACUGGAACUGAGACACGGUCCAGACUCCUACGGGAGGCAGCAGUAGGGAAUAUUGCACAAUGGGGGAAACCCUGAUGCAGCAACGCCGCGUGAGUGAAGAAGGCCCUUGGGUUGUAAAGCUCUUUAGCGUGGGAAGAAGGUAGAUACGGUGAAUAAUCGUGUUUGCUGACGGUACCACGAGAAUAAGCACCGGCUAAUUUCGUGCCAGCCGCCGCCGUAA